CUACGGGAGGCAGCAGUGAGGAAUAUUGGUCAAUGGGCGUAAGCCUGAACCAGCCAAGUCGCGUGAGGGAUGAAGGUUCUAUGGAUCGUAAACCUCUUUUAUAAGGGAAUAAAGUGUGGGACGUGUCCUAUUUUGUAUGUACCUUAUGAAUAAGGAUCGGCUAACUCCGUGCCAGCAGCCGCGGUAAUACGGAGGAUCCGAGCGUUAUCCGGAUUUAUUGGGUUUAAAGGGUGCGUAGGCGGCCUUUUAAGUCAGCGGUGAAAGUCUGUGGCUCAACCAUAGAAUUGCCGUUGAAACUGGGAGGCUUGAGUAUGUUUGAGGCAGGCGGAAUGCGUGGUGUAGCGGUGAAAUGCUUAGAUAUCACGCAGAACCCCGAUUGCGAAGGCAGCCUGCCAAGCCAUGACUGACGCUGAUGCACGAAAGCGUGGGGAUCAAACAGGAUUAGAUACCCUGGUAGUCCACGCAGUAAACGAUGAUCACUAGCUGUUUGCGAUACAGUGUAAGCGGCACAGCGAAAGCGUUAAGUGAUCCACCUGGGGAGUACGCCGGCAACGGUGAAACUCAAAGGAAUUGACGGGGGCCCGCACAAGCGGAGGAACAUGUGGUUUAAUUCGAUGAUACGCGAGGAACCUUACCCGGGUUUGAACGCAUUCGGACCGAGGUGGAAACACCUUUUCUAGCAAUAGCCGUUUGCGAGGUGCUGCAUGGUUGUCGUCAGCUCGUGCCGUGAGGUGUCGGCUUAAGUGCCAUAACGAGCGCAACCCUUGCCACUAGUUACUAACAGGUAAAGCUGAGGACUCUGGUGGGACUGCCAGCGUAAGCUGCGAGGAAGGCGGGGAUGACGUCAAAUCAGCACGGCCCUUACAUCCGGGGCGACACACGUGUUACAAUGGCGUGGACAAAGGGAGGCCACCUGGCGACAGGGAGCGAAUCCCCAAACCACGUCUCAGUUCGGAUCGGAGUCUGCAACCCGACUCCGUGAAGCUGGAUUCGCUAGUAAUCGCGCAUCAGCCAUGGCGCGGUGAAUACGUUCCCGGGCCUUGUACACACCGCCCGUCAAGCCAUGGGAGCCGGGGGUACCUGAAGUCCGUAACCGCGAGGAUCGGCCUAGGGUAAAACUGGUGACUGGGGCUAAGUCGUAACAAGGUAGCCGUACCGGAAGGUGCGGCUG
rnacentral:rRNA from 1 species